rnacentral:tRNA from 1 species
CGCGGAGUAGAGCAGUGGUGAGCUCGCCGGCCUCAUAAGCCGGAGGUCGGGGGUUCGAAUCCCCCCUCCGCUACCA